rnacentral:tRNA from 1 species
GCCACCGUAGCUCAGUUGGUAGAGCAGCUCACUCGUAACGAGCAGGUCGUCGGUUCAAGCCCGACCGGUGGCUCCA